rnacentral:rRNA from 1 species
UACGUAGGGUGCAAGCGUUGUCCGGAAUUAUUGGGCGUAAAGAGCGUGUAGGCGGCCAGGUAGGUCUGCUGUGAAAACUCGAGGCUUAACCUCGAGCUGUCGGCGGAAACCAUCUGGCUAGAGUCCGGAAGAGGAGAAUGGAAUUCCCGGUGUAGCGGUGAAAUGCGCAGAUAUCGGGAAGAACACCCGUGGCGAAGGCGGUUCUCUGGGACGGUAACUGACGCUGAGACGCGAAAGCGUGGGGAGCGAACAGG